rnacentral:rRNA from 1 species
UACGAAGGGGGCUAGCGUUGCUCGGAAUCACUGGGCGUAAAGCGCACGUAGGCGGCUUUCUAAGUCAGGGGUGAAAUCCUGGAGCUCAACUCCAGAACUGCCUUUGAUACUGGGAAGCUCGAGUCCGGAAGAGGUGAGUGGAACUCCGAGUGUAGAGGUGAAAUUCGUAGAUAUUCGGAAGAACACCAGUGGCGAAGGCGGCUUUCUGGCUCGUAACUGACGCUGAGGCGCGAAAGCGUGGGGAGCAAACAGG